rnacentral:rRNA from 1 species
AUGAACGCUGGCGGCGUGCCUAAUACAUGCAAGUCGAGCGAACGGACGAGAAGCUUGCUUCUCUGAUGUUAGCGGCGGACGGGUGAGUAACACGUGGAUAACCUACCUAUAAGACUGGGAUAACUUCGGGAAACCGGAGCUAAUACCGGAUAAUAUUUUGAACCGCAUGGUUCAAAAGUGAAAGACGGUCUUGCUGUCACUUAUAGAUGGAUCCGCGCUGCAUUAGCUAGUUGGUAAGGUAACGGCUUACCAAGGCAGCGAUGCAUAGCCGACCUGAGAGGGUGAUCGGCCACACUGGAACUGAGACACGGUCCAGACUCCUACGGGAGGCAGCAGUAGGGAAUCUUCCGCAAUGGGCGAAAGCCUGACGGAGCAACGCCGCGUGAGUGAUGAAGGUCUUCGGAUCGUAAAACUCUGUUAUUAGGGAAGAACAUAUGUGUAAGUAACUGUGCACAUCUUGACGGUACCUAAUCAGAAAGCCACGGCUAACUACGUG